UAAUCGACAAUCCACGAAAAAUCUUACUUAUUUAAAAAGUUUGUAUACCGUCAUUAUUAGAUAACUUUUAUAGAAUUAGAUAUUAAAAUUUAAUUUAAUUAAAGAAUAUUAGAUCAAGGUGCAGCUUAAAAAUAAGAAAAAAUGAGUUACAAUAAUAUUUAUUAAACGAAUUUUAAAAUUAAUUUUUUAUUUGAAGGUGGAUUUAAUUGUAUAUUUUAUUUAUUAAGGUAAAUUGAUAUAAGCUCUAUAAUGUGUACAUAUCGCCCGUCGCUCGCGGGAAAA
rnacentral:rRNA from 1 species